GCCUGGGUGGCUCAGUUGGUUAAGCGUCUGACUUUGGCUCAGGUCACGAUCUCACAGUUUGUGGGUUCGAGCCCCGCGUCGGGCU
rnacentral:tRNA from 1 species